rnacentral:lncRNA from 1 species
UGUAUUCCGAGUAGGCAGACUACGAUACAAAAACAUUUUGCUCCCGACAGGUAACCAACGAAAAUGUAAGUCAGUGACCACGGCGCGAAUGACGAAGAAUGACAGAUUGGAAGAGCGU